ensembl:lincRNA C130026L21Rik RIKEN cDNA C130026L21 gene
GAUUCGGGGCCCAAUUCCCCGGGUGGAAUUUACAAGCGUUUUGCCUUCUCCUCCUGAUCUAACACCAGCUUAGAGAAUUUCUUCAAGCCAGCCUUUCUCUUUAACCCCUGCGGCUCCGGCAGACAGCAGUCCAGCCAUCCUUGCUAAGUUCCUGAGAUUCCCUCCAGGGUCUGGGCUUUUCUCCAGCACGUGGCUCCCUGCUACCAUCCGAGAAGUCCCUGAUGCUGAGGUCUCUGCUGACUUGCCCCGAAGGAUUGCCGACACACGGACAUUUAUGUCUUCCCCACAGGGAAAAACACCCCAUUAGAAGCUGUCUGUAACUGUGAAACAAACAGCCCCGAGACUUGAGAGUCGUUACCGGGAAGCAGUGAUAACUCGGUAUUAGCUCGUGCAGUUUCUGUGGGUGGAGGCCUCUGCAUCCGUCUCCGGCAGAAAUUUGGUUCCCCCAUAGGAUCUUCAGGGAGCUGCAGUGACACCAGAGGAGGGCUACUGGAAAUGGCACCAGGACAUCAUAUUCGUUUUCUAGAUCCCAACAUGGAAGAAUUGGAAAGAGAAAAGCAUUAUAUGCUCAUGGAUGCUAGUGGAGUUUGUCUCCAGCCUGUCGUGUUUCCGGGCCUCGGAAUAGAGACAGAGGUGGCUUCCUUCCUUCCCUGGGGGAGGCUUCAUUCCUGACUCCUGACCUGCCUCUUCUCCUGCCCACAUCCUUCCUUUCUGAGUGAUCCUGACUGGCAAGAAGGGACAGCAGUGAGGAGCCUCUCAGAACCAAGACCAUGGCUCCUGCUUCUCAGCCUGGCUAGCCCACCUGCAGGAAACCUGAUUGUACCCUCAUGGGGCCAUCCUUUCAAUGCCCCCAAAGUACCCAAUACACCUGGACUUUCUUCGGGAUCCCACUCUUUCCCUCCUCCCUCCUCCCUCCUCCCUUCCUCCCCUCUUUUCUUUCUUCCUCCAUCUCUGCCUUUCUCCUUUCUGCCAUACACUGCCUGACCCAUCAGAUGUCAUUGUUUGCUGUUUAGACUGCAGUAGCCACUGAGAGCAGACUCUGCAGGUUGAAGCUUGACCUCCAUCUCUGCCGUACACGGCUUUGGGAAGUUCCUCCAGCACUCCAGGCUUUCAUUUCAUCGCCUUGAAUGAAGGUUCUUCUGGGGAUGAAAUAAAGUAGUCAUUGGUCGUUGCUCUGUCACGACUGAUAGAUGAGUAAAUCCCAGAGACUUCAGAAACGGAAGCCAGAGGAAACGGCCACCCUGCUGAGCCCUGGAGCUGCUGGCAGGCAGAGCCCUCUCUCUAAGUCACUACCAGACAGGCUAGCAGGAAAAUCUGGAAGAAUACAGAUUUGAUGACAGGGAUGUCCUAGGAGGGAUGUCUCCAAGUUCAACCUCUGUCCUUGGACCUCUCAGGUGCAAAGAAAGCGCAGGUUCUCAGAGCUGUGGUACCCAGCCCUCUGUGAUCCCCACCAUCAGCUGGAUCCAGAAGGGCUCCUCUCUUCAUAGGGAGCCCGAGGCAUUCAUUGCUCUCACUAAGGGCCCAGAAAAGGCAAGCUUUGGUGCUGAAAGCCCCCUAAGCUCCCCGCAAACGCCGUGAUUGCUAAAAAUUUGCUUCGUUCUGAUUUUGCCUCUCGUUGGCUGAAGGACUGGAUUUUAUACCAGGUCAAUUUCAGACCAUUUGAUAUUGAUAUAUGAAGAUCCCAGGGGAUUACUGAAUGCAUUUCUCAUCCUGCCUAGAUAGUAUCAUAGAAGGAAAAUGGGAUUGACUGUUAAGGACAAAUUGAGAAAGACAUGGCCAUUUAAGAUAACUCCUUAUCUGUAUACAAGCAAAUGGUAUCUGGGAAAUAGACCACCAGUUGACAGC